GCGCCUGUAGCUCAACGGAUAGAGCAGCGGCCUCCGGAGCCGCGUGUGGAGGUUCGAUUCCUCUCAGGCGCA
rnacentral:tRNA from 1 species